rnacentral:rRNA from 1 species
UGGGGAAUAUUGCACAAUGGGCGCAAGCCUGAUGCAGCCAUGCCGCGUGUGUGAAGAAGGCCUUCGGGUUGUAAAGCACUUUCAGCGAGGAGGAAGGUGGUGAACUUAAUACGUUCAUCAAUUGACGUUACUCGCAGAAGAAGCACCGGCUAACUCCGUGCCAGCAGCCGCGGUAAUACGGAGGGUGCAAGCGUUAAUCGGAAUACUGGGCGUAAAGCGCACGCAGGCGGUUUGUUAAGUCAGAUGUGAAAUCCCCGGGCUCAACCUGGGAACUGCAUUUGAAACUGGCAAGCUAGAGUCUCGUAGAGGGGGGCUAGAAUUCCAGGUGUAGCGGUGAAAUGCGUAGAGAUCUGGAGGAAUACCGGUGGCGAAGGCGGCCCCCCUGGACGAAGACUGACGCUCAGGUGCGAAAGCGUGGGGCAGCAAACAGGAUUAGAUACCCUGGUAGUCCACGCUGUAAACGAUGUCGAUUUGGAGGUUGUGCCCUUGAGGCGUGGCUUCCGGAGCUAACGCGUUAAAGUCGACCGCCUGGGGAGUACGGCCGCAAGGUUAAAAC